CUUGUGUGAAAAACAUGUUUGUUUAUGAGGAAAUGUUAACUUGCAUGGAAACAAAUGAGGAUUGACAACACGAAGGACAUCAGGCUGUAGAAAAUCUA